AGCAGCCGCGGUAAUUCCAGCUCCAAUAGCGUAUAUUAAAGUUGUUGCAGUUAAAAAGCUCGUAGUUGAAUUUCGGGAUUAGUACGUCGGUCGUGCCUUCGGUACGUACUGGUGUUACUGAUUCCUACCUUCUGACGAACCAUCAUGUCAUUAAUUUGGUGUGGCGGGGAAUCAGGACUGUUACUUUGAAAAAAUUAGAGUGUUUAAAGCAGGCUCGCGCUUGAAUACAUUAGCAUGGAAUAAUGAAAUAGGACGUUGACCCUAUUUUGUUGGUUUCUAGGAUUGACGUAAUGAUUAAUAGGGAUAGUUGGGGGCAUUAGUAUUCAAUUGUCAGAGGUGAAAUUCUUGGAUUUAUUGAAGACUAACUACUGCGAAAGCAUUUGCCAAGGAUGUUUUCAUUAAUCAAGAACGAAAGUUAGGGGAUCGAAGACGAUCAGAUACCGUCGUAGUCUUAACCAUAAACUAUGCCGACUAGGGAUCGGAUGAUGUUAUUUUUAAUGACUCAUUCGGCGUCCUUACG
rnacentral:rRNA from 1 species